AUCCUGACUCAUCUGCAGCAAAGAAAACCUUGACCCUCCUCCACUCGCUCCUGUGGGCCUCACACACUCCCUUCAUUCUUUUCCAUCAGAGACCAAGACCCCUGGCUUGGAUUGAAGAUGACCAUGAUACACUUUCACAUCUAAGACGAUACUGCAGAAAAGAAUCUUCACCUGAUAAAAGACAAAGGCCACUGGAAAAAAAAACACCUGGGUGUUGAUGAGCUGUUUUGUUCGCUUCGAGGAGGAUUGUGUCAAACAGGACGUAGCUGUGGUCGAACGACCUUGAGUGGAUCCGAUUUUCUCGUGCUGGACCACACUGAGCAGAAAUCUUCACAGCUACUCCUGCCAGGACAUCUCCUCCGACAGGAGAGCUGUCAGUACACAAGGACCACACACAUGUACACACAAACAAUCACACGAACACCUGACCCAAUUUUCAAGCUACUGCACCAUCCAGCAACAACAGCCAGAGAGACACACCAACAAAGUGCCAAAAAAACAAGUAACAGCAAAAUCCUCUCUGUCCCCUCUUGGCAAACCUGUUUUACACACAGCACCUCCCUUCUCUUCCCUCACUCAUCUGUUAUUUUCCCCUUUAAUUCCCUUACUGCAGACAACCUAGUUUUUCCUUCCCUGUCCUGUUUUCCAAAGACAUAAGACAAAUCCACAGGGAAAGCGUUUCAAACCCAGACAUUGACAUAACCCAAAAAUCUGACUCCAUGACUUGAGCCAUCUUACAGCCCCAACUGCAAGUGAGGAGCCAACCCUCAGUUCCAGACCUGCCUCUUAAUAAAGCCAAAUUUCAGACACAACCACACACACCCACAACCACCCUGGCUCCACACUUCUAAUAUCCACACAGCCCUCAGGAGCACAAUGCCAAGCCUCAGCUGCAUCCCUGACCUUCAUCCCCCAACAAGACAACGGAUCGGCCGGUUCAGCAGCUCCAGAUGCCACAGUGUGCCAGACAGGAUUAGCUCACAUCAGGCCAGAGGGGUUGCAGAUCCUCCCUUUUACCCUCUUCCCAACACCAUGUCCUCUAAACCCCCUUGCUGUGACUGCUCAGAAUGUACAAGGUGCAAAAAGUUCUGUGACUGUUCCUGUUGUGCCCGAACAGAGCAAGGCCUGAUAAUGCUCCUGCAGUAAAGGUGCAAACUGCAACCAAGCACGUGUCCAUUCGCAAUUUUCCCAUGGACCUCAACCUUGUGCAGAGAGCAAACUUCAAAUUCCGUGUCACAUGUUGUUCCAUGUUGAGGAUCAUCGACUAUCACCCAGAGACCAAACAGCAGCCUAACGGUGGAAGAGCCGACAGUCUCUGAGACCCAAGACGGCACAUCAGGUCGAGAGUGUGACCGAGGCCAAGCUUCUUUGGCAUUUGCGGGACUGUGCACUGUGAAUUUGUCGUGCAGGGUCAGACUGUUUCAUUGUGUCCACGGGAGGCCAUCCGCUGCAAACAACCUUAACUGUGGCGUGAUAUCAAUUGGCCUCUCCGUCAUGACAACACGCCCACUCACAGCGUGGGCUUUGGCUACACCAGCACAGCUCUCCAAUUGGCCUACUUGUCAAAUUUGGCUCCCCGCAACUUCCCCCUCUUUCCCCAAAAUGAAAUGCAAUCUGAGGAGUUGCCAUUUUAACACGGUGGAGGAGAUCCAGUGUGUGGCACAGAUGGUGCUUGACACACUUACAGAAUGGGACUUCCAGGGAGCAUUCCAAUCAAGGCAGGAGUGCUGGGAGCAGUGUUUUGUGGCACAAGUUGUUGACUUCUUUCAAGAUGGUGGCCAAAUGUAAAUCAGAUUUGCAGAUUCAAUCCCGGAACUUUUUUGAUAGCACUUUAAAUAAUCAAAAAACAGGGACUGAUACUGUGUGUGGAGGGAUACGCACAUAUGUUCAUAGAUGUAGUAAUUGAAACAGGGUGGUUGCAGUCGUGAGAAGAUGCAUGAACAAUGAAGAAUAGUACUAAUAGUACGAUGUU